AACAAUAUUUUUAAAUAAACUUUUUUGCAAAAUUAAAAAAAACUGAAAAUUGUACAAAUUCUCUUUAAAAAAUUCUUCAGCAAUCGGUUUCCUUUUGUCAUUGGCUUUUAAAUCAAUGGGGAAAAGUUUUAAAAAUCUCAGACAAAUAUCUUUUGAGUUCUUAUCAAAAAACACCCCCCCCCGAAUAAGAAUAAAGCUAAUCUGAAGUGUCACAAUUUCUAAUCUAAAAUUUCAUUUCAUUCCCCAACAUCUAUUUCCUUUUGAUGUCACAAAUCUAUUGUCAAAUGUAAACGCUUAAAGUAAGUGCCCUGUCCUCCUCAACAUAUAUAGAGUGGCAUGUACGAUUUACAACGGUAUCCUUUAAACCUUUAUCAGGGGCAGCCGUAGUACAUUUGAAUUUCCGAGCUGGGUCAACCUUUCCAGUCCCAGUUUGUCCUGUAUUGUCCGGACAUUUGUUAAACAAAGCAGACACACUAUGCCAGUACAACAAUGUUGACGCGGUCAGACUUUAGGUUGAGCAUCAAAGAGAAAUAUAUUGUGUCGAAUUCUGACAUUUUCGUUCUUUGAAUCUGCUGAAAUGCGCAAUUCAAAACCACAAUUUUCAUAUCUAAAAAUUCUCCUUGAAUGUAUUCUUUAUUGUUCCUAAGCUAAAGGUUUAAAAUGGUAUCGUUGUUCAUGGGGCAUGCACUUUAAAAAAAGGUUCAUUGAAAUUUUGUCGACAGUGUCUUUAAUUUUUUUUAUGUACUAUAUCAUCAGGCUGGCCCUUCCGGUUCACAUACAAGGGUCAGGUAGCCAAGCAUAAACUUGAAGUCAAGAAAGCAGUUUUCUGUGAGAUUGCGGCACAGGAUGAAGGAGUAUCCCUAUCUGCUACUCCUGGCAGUUCUACUGAUGGAGCAGGAACCAAUAGCAAGGUUGAUAUUGAGGUCGAAGCCUCAGAUUCGGAGGAUAGAAAUAUGCAAGAGGAUGACUCACACAAUUUCAUAAACCAAAAUGGACACUCCCCCGACCCCAGCACCCCCUUGCUCUCUAGACAGGGCAACCAUGCCCCUGGGAAUCAUCCACUACGCUCCGCACCACUUUCCUCGCCGCGCACACACAUGAGAGAAUCCACUAAGGAUAUUGUUACCGCAGUUACACAUCAGGAGGUCAAUGGUUGCAACGCUGUCUCAACGGUUGCCCUCAAGGAUAUAGAUGUACAGAUGAAUCUGUCCUCGCUGUCAGGAUACGAAACCUAUGUUUAAUCUUGAAAAACUGGAAUUUCGACAUUGAUUUAAAAUAUUUCAUAAACCAGCUGACCUUACAAACUACUAAAAUUUAGCAUUUUAGGACAUUGAAAUAUUAUUUAUAUUCUUAUUUGUCUUAUUUGUUAACAAUUCUACUUUUAAUGCAUACAUUUUAAAUAUAAAAAUGUACUCACAAAUUAGCCCUUUCAAUUGCUUAUAUAAUUAUAAUUAUAUUUGGCCUCUAAAAGCUUGCAGCACUUUCUCCGUUUUUCGGGUUCAAUAAAUUCUACAUAUCUAAAAGCAAAGAUAUCGAAUACAAUAUAUUUCCAUAGCUAUAAAAGAGAAAAUUUAUUUUCCCCCAUUCUUCCGUAAAAUGUACAGUUCCCCCACUUGAAUUGAAGUAGGAAUUUACAAUUUUCCCGUUAUAUUGUAAAUAAAAAAACAUGGCGCUGAUUUUUCUUCAAAUUUUCCCGCUUAAAAGGUCGUCUUUGCUUUAGCUACCUCGAUCAAUCUGUUCAAGCCUUACUGGGGGGUUUACACAGUAUUUUUACGAUGUACACGGCUACCAUGAACGUUUUUGUUAUGUACCCGGUACAUAGAGUGACGAGUGUUGUUUUAUAUGAUAAACUUGUUCCCACUAUUUUUAAUAUGCAGACGCGUCUGCAUUUUUACUCUCAUCAACUGUAGAAAUUAUAGAUUCAACUUGUAUUCACGUAUUAAAGUUUAAAAUUGUACACCUGCCUGCCUGCCUACUUGGAUUAAAUGCAUAAAAACUUUUAAUCUUUGAUAUGAAAACAAGAUAGUUUCUAAGUAGUAAAGUUUUUAUGCUGAGAGCAAAAAGGGCUAAAAUCCUCAAGAUGAUUAAUCUCCUCCCAAACUUAUAUAUUUGUCCCUCAAACUUUUCUAAUCCAUUUUUUUCUAUUCCUGGACUAUAGGAACCAACCUCCAGUUAAACUAUUAUAAAUUGUGCAUUGUACACAGACCCAUUUCCAUUUUAAAUUUUUUGUCUUUAUAACAACAUCAAAUGCAUAUAAGAUUGCUUAAAUGUCUUUUCCUUUUCCACAAGUUUUUGGGUCUCACUGUGUAUAAAGAAUUGCUGGCUCAGGGUUUUCUUCAGAAGAUGCUGAUUUGGGACAAUUUUAUGCGUUGCACAAAACGAGUGAAAUGCACAUAUUCAAGAUGGCACAAUAUCUUUCCUAGUUUGAAAAAUUCAAUUUAAAAUAUAUUUUUAAAUUAGAUUUUCUCGCAUAAAACAGAGAUUGCAUAAAAUAGAUCAAUUCAUUUUUACUUAAUUUUGAACUUUCAUUCAAAAACUUAUAAACUUACAAAAGUGUUUAUUAUAAAAAUCUAACGUCUGUGUAUUGUAGAUUUAGCUUGUGAUUUAAUUCUACAAAUUUUACUUAAACUCUCCUGUUAAACCGCUUUAUUAUACGUUAUUUGCAAAGAUUUGCACGCAAUAGAAAAGUUUGCAAAGAUUGUCCGGUGCUAGAUAUUCUUUACAUUUAAUUUUCGCACUUUUUUAUUCUGCAUAGAUUAUAUUUAUUCUCUAAUAAAGUGUUAUUUAUUGUAGAUAUAUAUAUAUUUUAAACCUUCUUCCCUUCUCCCUUCAAUUUUGAACUAAAUAAUUAAACAUUUAGCAAAUUUAAUUAUUUCUAAUCUAACAUUAGUUCUGAAACUAA